UGGGGAAUUUUGCUCAAUGGGGGAAACCCUGAUGCAGCGACGCCGCGUGAUUUAGAAGGCCUUCGGGUUGUAAAAAUCUUUUCUAUGGGAAGAAAAUGACAGUACCAUAGGAAUAAGGACCGGCUAAUUACGUGCCAGCAGCCGCGGUAAUACGUAAGGUCCGAGCGUUGUCCGGAAUCAUUGGGCGUAAAGGGUACGUAGGCGGGUAAGCAAGUUAGAAGUGAAAUCCUAUAGCUCAACUAUAGUAAGCUUUUAAAACUGCUCAUCUUGAGGUAUGGAAGGGAAAGUGGAAUUACUAGUGUAGCGGUGAAAUGAGCAGAUAUUAGGAGGAAUACCGGUGGCGAAGGCGACUUUCUGGCCAUAACCUGACGCUGAGGUACGAAAGCGUGGGUAGCAAACAGG
rnacentral:rRNA from 1 species